GCGGCAGUAGCUCAAUAGCAGAGCUCCCGCUUCGCAUGCAGGGAGACCUGGGUUCGAUCCCUGGCUGCUUCC
rnacentral:tRNA from 1 species